rnacentral:rRNA from 1 species
UUAAGCGACUAAGCGUACACGGUGGAUGCCCUGGCAGUCAGAGGCGAUGAAGGACGUGCUAAUCUGCGAUAAGCGUCGGUGAGGUGAUAUGAACCGUUAUAACCGGCGAUUUCCGAAUGGGGAAACCCAGUGUGUUUCGACACACUAUCAUUAACUGAAUCCAUAGGUUAAUGAGGCGAACCGGGGGAACUGAAACAUCUAAGUACCCCGAGGAAAAGAAAUCAACCGAGAUUCCCCCAGUAGCGGCGAGCGAACGGGGAGGAGCCCAGAGCCUGAAUCAGUGUGUGUGUUAGUGGAAGCGUCUGGAAAGGCGCGCGAUACAGGGUGACAGCCCCGUACACAAAAAUGCACAUAUUGUGAGCUCGAUGAGUAGGGCGGGACACGUGGUAUCCUGUCUGAAUAUGGGGGGACCAUCCUCCAAGGCUAAAUACUCCUGACUGACCGAUAGUGAACCAGUACCGUGAGGGAAAGGCGAAAAGAACCCCGGCGAGGGGAGUGAAAAAGAACCUGAAACCGUGUACGUACAAGCAGUGGGAGCCUCUUAAUGGGGUGACUGCGUACCUUUUGUAUAAUGGGUCAGCGACUUAUAUUCUGUAGCAAGGUUAACCGAAUAGGGGAGCCGAAGGGAAACCGAGUCUUAACUGGGCGUUAAGUUGCAGGGUAUAGACCCGAAACCCGGUGAUCUAGCCAUGGGCAGGUUGAAGGUUGGGUAACACUAACUGGAGGACCGAACCGACUAAUGUUGAAAAAUUAGCGGAUGACUUGUGGCUGGGGGUGAAAGGCCAAUCAAACCGGGAGAUAGCUGGUUCUCCCCGAAAGCUAUUUAGGUAGCGCCUCGUGAAUUCAUCUCCGGGGGUAGAGCACUGUUUCGGCAAGGGGGUCAUCCCGACUUACCAACCCGAUGCAAACUGCGAAUACCGGAGAAUGUUAUCACGGGAGACACACGGCGGGUGCUAACGUCCGUCGUGAAGAGGGAAACAACCCAGACCGCCAGCUAAGGUCCCAAAGUCAUGGUUAAGUGGGAAACGAUGUGGGAAGGCCCAGACAGCCAGGAUGUUGGCUUAGAAGCAGCCAUCAUUUAAAGAAAGCGUAAUAGCUCACUGGUCGAGUCGGCCUGCGCGGAAGAUGUAACGGGGCUAAACCAUGCACCGAAGCUGCGGCAGCGACACUAUGUGUUGUUGGGUAGGGGAGCGUUCUGUAAGCCUGUGAAGGUGGCCUGUGAGGGUUGCUGGAGGUAUCAGAAGUGCGAAUGCUGACAUAAGUAACGAUAAAGCGGGUGAAAAGCCCGCUCGCCGGAAGACCAAGGGUUCCUGUCCAACGUUAAUCGGGGCAGGGUGAGUCGACCCCUAAGGCGAGGCCGAAAGGCGUAGUCGAUGGGAAACAGGUUAAUAUUCCUGUACUUGGUGUUACUGCGAAGGGGGGACGGAGAAGGCUAUGUUGGCCGGGCGACGGUUGUCCCGGUUUAAGCGUGUAGGCUGGUUUUCCAGGCAAAUCCGGAAAACCAAGGCUGAGGCGUGAUGACGAGGCACUACGGUGCUGAAGCGACAAAUGCCCUGCUUCCAGGAAAAGCCUCUAAGCAUCAGGUAACAUCAAAUCGUACCCCAAACCGACACAGGUGGUCAGGUAGAGAAUACCAAGGCGCUUGAGAGAACUCGGGUGAAGGAACUAGGCAAAAUGGUGCCGUAACUUCGGGAGAAGGCACGCUGAUAUGUAGGUGAAGCGACUUGCUCGUGGAGCUGAAAUCAGUCGAAGAUACCAGCUGGCUGCAACUGUUUAUUAAAAACACAGCACUGUGCAAACACGAAAGUGGACGUAUACGGUGUGACGCCUGCCCGGUGCCGGAAGGUUAAUUGAUGGGGUUAGCGGUAACGCGAAGCUCUUGAUCGAAGCCCCGGUAAACGGCGGCCGUAACUAUAACGGUCCUAAGGUAGCGAAAUUCCUUGUCGGGUAAGUUCCGACCUGCACGAAUGGCGUAAUGAUGGCCAGGCUGUCUCCACCCGAGACUCAGUGAAAUUGAACUCGCUGUGAAGAUGCAGUGUACCCGCGGCAAGACGGAAAGACCCCGUGAACCUUUACUAUAGCUUGACACUGAACAUUGAGCCUUGAUGUGUAGGAUAGGUGGGAGGCUUUGAAGUGUGGACGCCAGUCUGCAUGGAGCCGACCUUGAAAUACCACCCUUUAAUGUUUGAUGUUCUAACGUUGGCCCGUAAUCCGGGUUGCGGACAGUGUCUGGUGGGUAGUUUGACUGGGGCGGUCUCCUCCUAAAGAGUAACGGAGGAGCACGAAGGUUGGCUAAUCCUGGUCGGACAUCAGGAGGUUAGUGCAAUGGCAUAAGCCAGCUUGACUGCGAGCGUGACGGCGCGAGCAGGUGCGAAAGCAGGUCAUAGUGAUCCGGUGGUUCUGAAUGGAAGGGCCAUCGCUCAACGGAUAAAAGGUACUCCGGGGAUAACAGGCUGAUACCGCCCAAGAGUUCAUAUCGACGGCGGUGUUUGGCACCUCGAUGUCGGCUCAUCACAUCCUGGGGCUGAAGUAGGUCCCAAGGGUAUGGCUGUUCGCCAUUUAAAGUGGUACGCGAGCUGGGUUUAGAACGUCGUGAGACAGUUCGGUCCCUAUCUGCCGUGGGCGCUGGAGAACUGAGGGGGGCUGCUCCUAGUACGAGAGGACCGGAGUGGACGCAUCACUGGUGUUCGGGUUGUCAUGCCAAUGGCACUGCCCGGUAGCUAAAUGCGGAAGAGAUAAGUGCUGAAAGCAUCUAAGCACGAAACUUGCCCCGAGAUGAGUUCUCCCUGACUCCUUGAGGGUCCUGAAGGAACGUUGAAGACGACGACGUUGAUAGGCCGGGUGUGUAAGCGCAGCGAUGCGUUGAGCUAACCGGUACUAAUGAACCGUGAGGCUUAACCUU